rnacentral:sRNA from 1 species
GCUGGGUGCAGUGGCAACACCUGUAAUCCUAGAGACUCAGGAGGCUGAGGCAGGAGGAUCACAAGUUUGAGGACAGCCUCAGCAACUUAUUGAGGCCCUAAGCAACUUAGUAAGGCCCUAUCUCUA